rnacentral:rRNA from 1 species
CCUACGGGUGGCAGCAGUGAGGAAUAUUGGUCAAUGGGCUUACGCCUGAACCAGCCAAGUCGCGUGAGGGAAGACUGCCCUAUGGGUUGUAAACCUCUUUUGUCAGGGAGCAACGCCGGCUACGUGUAGCCGGACUGAGAGUACCUGAAGAAAAAGCAUCGGCUAACUCCGUGCCAGCAGCCGCGGUAAUACGGAGGAUGCGAGCGUUAUCCGGAUUUAUUGGGUUUAAAGGGUGCGUAGGCGGAAUGCCAAGUCAGCGGUAAAAUCGCGGGGCUCAACCUCGCUCCGCCGUUGAAACUGGGAGGCUUGAGUAUGUUUGAGGCAGGCGGAAUGCGUGGUGUAGCGGUGAAAUGCUUAGAUAUCACGCAGAACCCCGAUUGCGAAGGCAGCCUGCCAAGCCAUGACUGACGCUGAUGCACGAAAGCGUGGGGAUCAAACAGGAUUAGAUACCCGUGUAGUC